rnacentral:rRNA from 1 species
AGAACGAACGCUGGCGGCGUGCUUAACACAUGCAAGUCGCGUGCGCAGUUUCCGUAGCAAUACGGGGAUCGGCGCACGGCGCACGGGUGCGUAACACGUGGGCAAUCUGCCCUCCGAUGGGGAAUACCCCCGCGAAAGCGGGACUAAUUCCGCAUAACAUUCCUUGGAUUAAUUUUCGAGGAUUCAAAGCAGCAAUGCGUCGGAGGAGGAGCCCGCGCCCGAUUAGCUAGUUGGUGAGGUAACGGCUCACCAAGGCAAUGAUCGGUAGCUGGUCUGAGAGGAUGGCCAGCCACACUGGAACUGAGACACGGUCCAGACUCCUACGGGAGGCAGCAGUGGGGAAUCUUGCACAAUGGGCGAAAGCCUGAUGCAGCGACGCCGCGUGGGGGAUGAAGCUUUUCGGAGUGUAAACCCCUUUCGACUGGGACGAAUGCCUCGCAAGAGGAGUGACGGUACCGGUAUAAGAAGCCCCGGCUAACUACGUGCCAGCAGCCGCGGUAAGACGUAGGGGGCCAGCGUUGUUCGGAAUUACUGGGUGUAAAGGGUUCGUAGGCGGUGUGGCAAGUCGGGAGUGAAAUCUCUGGGCUCAACCCAGAGACUGCUUCCGAAACUGCUGUGCUUGAGUGUGAGAGAGGCUCGUGGAAUUGCAGGUGUAGCGGUGAAAUGCGUAGAUAUCUGCAGGAACACCCGUGGCGAAAGCGGCGAGCUGGAUCACUACUGACGCUGAGGAACGAAAGCUAGGGGAGCAAACAGGAUUAGAUACCCUGGUAGUCCUAGCCCUAAACGAUCAGGACUUGGGGUGCCGCCCGUUCGGGCGUCGUCCCGGAGCUAACGCGUUAAGUCCUGCACCUGGGGAGUACGGUCGCAAGACUGAA